UUGGCAAAAGUUGUGAGAGUCAGUGACACUGAAAUAUAAGACCUUUCCUCCUCAUCCAUGCCCUACAGCCAGCCUAUUGGACGCAUAGGAAAUGGAAGCUAUGCAAUCAGCCACUUCCAGAGAAACUCAAAACUACAAGGAACUGACAGAUGGGUCGCAAAAAUCCACGGGGUCCCAUCACUGCCAGGGUGAACUCAUUGGCACAGCAGACUUCUUCCUGUCUGCCUGAGAGCCACCCGACAUCCAGCUUCUGACGCACAGGACAGGCAGACCUUGCAUCUUCAGACCCACACCUGAAAGCAGAGGCAGACAGCAGCAGUCCAGUGGACAGCCAUUCCUCAUCCUCCAGAAGUUGACAUCUUCCAUCCAUGGAGCAGGGGCCUUGGGGCUGGCCAGCUGCCCUCCCUUCCUUGCUUGCCCUAUCUAGGAAGUUCUGCCAGCAGAAAACAGAGUACUUAUUCCAAGUCAAGGGCUGUAUUCUUUGUGUCUUUU